CCUGCUGCCAUAGUUAUGAUCAGCAAAUUGUUGACUCCUCCUCUUUUUGUUGUUUACGAGGAAACUUCGAGAUCGGUGAAUGCGUGAGAAGUCAGUACUAGCAGUCCAAGCAGUCUCAGCAGUCGAGGCAGUUCUGCCAGUCCGGUCAGUCCGGGCGGUCCUGUCAGAGCAUUAGGGCAGGGAGCUAUCCUGUAGGACCCCACCACAUACCCGUAUGCCAUUGAGCCCGUCUUCCAUCGUCAGAGUGAGUCUGUCUUCCUGGAGGAUGUCUUGGACGAGGCUCUGAGAAUGUUAUUAAGAAUCAAGGGUCCCUCAAGAGGCAUUUGUGAAGUAUUCCCUUGGUUCCAUAAUUUGGACGGCGUAAUUGGUGGCCACCUGGAUGUGCUCUGCCUCCUACGACUGAUUUGUUCAUCAUCGUCUCGACUUUGAUUCACCUUAGUGGAUGAUUUGUGGAGAAAAGUCACGUUCUCCUAAGCAUUGACUUCAAUCCCUUCUUGCUCGGAUGGACUACGGUGAGUACCAAGUAUUUUUUGGGGCAAAUGCUGAAUGGUAAUCGUAACAAUCUCUUUGAGCCUUUGUCGCUGCCUAUUAAAGUCCUUCCUACCUGCCAUCGGUAGAGUACGGAUAUUCACGAAUGUUUAAUAGUUAUAAAGGAUUUCUCUUGUCCUUACAGUGGUUUCGCAACUCUACUGAAGGUUGUUCAUGGGUUUAUUGUACAUAGUGGAUAGGAUUAUCCAGCCUUGAUUUGGUUGUCAUACUUGGUUUUUCUUGUCUUGACCUACUUACAGUAAGGUAUGGAGGAGAAGCUGAUUAUUGAAGAGGAAGAGCCCUGUGUCAUGCACUUGACACAUUUGCAAUAAAUAAUAAAUUUAAACAUUUCAAA